rnacentral:rRNA from 1 species
UACGUAGGGUGCAGGCGUUAAUCGGAAUUACUGGGCGUAAAGCGUGCGCAGGCGGUCUGUUAAGAGAGAUGUGAAAUCCCCGGGCUUAACCUGGGAACUGCGUUUCUAACUGGCAGGCUUGAGUGUGGCAGAGGGGGGUGGAAUUCCACGUGUAGCAGUGAAAUGCGUAGAGAUGUGGAGGAACACCGAUGGCGAAGGCAGCCCCCUGGGUCAAAACUGACGCUCAUGCACGAAAGCGUGGGGAGCAAACAGG